CCUUCCCUUCACACCUGCCCACUAUUUGCCGGGAGGAGCCAACGGGAAACAGACGUAGGUCUCGCGGGCACCAUUACUUGAGACGAACGAGGCCACCAGCGACCCGCCGUCACCCUCACGAGGAGCUGAGGUGUGUGUGCUUGUGUGACUCACCUGCUGUCUUUCCGGGACCACCACCACCACCACCCAUAAAUCAGUCUAAGGAGGUGUUCCUGUCCGUGCGUCUCUCGCGGAGGCUGGGGCUCUGAGGACUCACCGCUAGUCUUGUUGUUCUCGACACAACGCUGUACGAAAUCUUGCUCUCCAUCCGCAUGCAGCGAUAAGACGGCUGAAAAUAAGUGACCUUUCUGCCCUUGGUUUUCAUUCUGGGCAAUCAAACGGAAUGUGCAGAAAUCAGAUUAAAAGAAUU